UACGGAGGGUGCAAGCGUUAUCCGGAAUCAUUGGGGUUAAAGGGUCCGCAGGCGGGACCGUAAGUCAGUGGUGAAAUCCCUCAGCUUAACUGAGGAACUGCCAAUGAUACUGCGGGUCUUGAAUUCGGUCGAAGUGGGCGGAAUGUGUCAUGUAGCGGGGAAAUGCAUAGAUAUGACACAGAACACCGAUAGCGAAGGCAGCUCACUGGGCCUGAAUUGACGCUCGGGGACGAAAGCGUGGGGAGCAAACA
rnacentral:rRNA from 1 species